rnacentral:rRNA from 1 species
GUCGGGAAUUUUGGGCAAUGGGCGAAAGCCUGACCCAGCAACGCCGCGUGAAGGAUGAAGUCUCUCGGGAUGUAAACUUCGUAAGAAUAGGAAGAAUAAAUGACGGUACUAUUUGUAAGGUCCGGCUAACUACGUGCCAGCAGCCGCGGUAAUACGUAGGGACCAAGCGUUGUUCGGAUUUACUGGGCGUAAAGGGCGCGUAGGCGGCGUGGUAAGUCACUUGUGAAAUCUCCGAGCUUAACUCGGAACGGUCAAGUGAUACUGCUGUGCUAGAGUACAGAAGGGGCAAUCGGAAUUCUUGGUGUAGCGGUGAAAUGCGUAGAUAUCAAGAGGAACACCUGAGGUGAAGACGGGUUGCUGGGCUGAUACUGACGCUGAGGCGCGAAAGCUAGGGUAGCAAACGGGAUUAGAAACCCUUGUAGUCC